UUUAUUUUUAUUUUUUAUUUCUUUCUUUAUUUAAAUUUUCAUAAAUUUUUAGAAUGUUUUGGAUUUUUUAUUUUUCAUAAAUCUUUUGUCUUUUCAUUUUUAUUCUUUUCUUAAAUUUUUUCACAAAUUUCUUUUUAUUUCUUAUUUUCAUUUUCAAAUUCUCAUAGUUUCUUUUGUUGCAUUUUCUUCUUUGGUUUUCAUUUUUAUUUUGAAUUAACUUUUCUCCCUUUUAAUUUUUUGUCUUUGAUUUUUUAUAUUGUUUUCUUAUUAUUUCUUAUAUGUUUUUCAAUUUUUUGUAUUUUUUAAAAU
rnacentral:lncRNA from 1 species